rnacentral:rRNA from 1 species
UACCGUGAGGGAAUUGUGAAAAGAACCCCGAAAGGGGAGUGAAACAGAACCUGAAACCUUGUGCCUACAAGCAGACAGAGGGCAACAGCCUGAUGUCGUACCUUUUGUAGAAUGGGCCAGCGAGUUAUCAUAUAAAGCAAGGUUAAGUCUUUAAGAGAUGCAGCCAAAGCGAAAGCGAGUCUUAAUAGGGCGUUUAGUCUGUGGUAUCUGGACGUGAAACGGGAUGAUCUAGGCAUGUGCAGGAUGAAGCGUGGGUAACACCACGUGGAGGUCCGAACCAGUUAAGGUUGAAAACUUUUUGGAUGACGUGUGCCUAGGGGUGAAAGGCUAAUCAAAUUCCGUGAUAGCUCGUUCUCUCCGAAAUAGGUUUAGG